GUGCUCGCUUUGGCAGCACAUAUACUAAAACUGGAAUGGUACAGAGAAGAUUAGCAUGGCCCCUGGGCAAGGAUGUCAUGCAAAUUGGUGAAGCAUUCCACAAUUAA